rnacentral:rRNA from 1 species
UGGGGAAUCUUAGACAAUGGGCGCAAGCCUGAUCUAGCCAUGCCGCGUGAGCGAUGAAGGCCUUAGGGUUGUAAAGCUCUUUCAGUGGGGAAGCUGUACCCACAGAAGAAGCCCCGGCUAACUCCGUGCCAGCAGCCGCGGUAAUACGGAGGGGGCUAGCGUUGUUCGGAAUUACUGGGCGUAAAGCGCACGUAGGCGGACGGAGAAGUCAGAGGUGAAAUCCCAGGGCUCAACCUUGGAACUGCCUUUGAAACUUUCUGUC